rnacentral:rRNA from 1 species
UACGGAGGAUGCGAGCGUUAUCCGGAUUUAUUGGGUUUAAAGGGUGCGCAGGCGGCACGGCAAGCCGGCGGUCAAAUCGCGGGGCUCAACCCCGCCCAGCCGUCGGAACUGCCGGGCUAGAGUGGGCGAGAAGUGCGCGGAAUGCGUGGUGUAGCGGUGAAAUGCAUAGAUAUCACGCAGAACUCCGAUUGCGAAGGCAGCAUACCGGCGCCCUACUGACGCUCAGGCACGAAAGCGUGGGUAUCGAACAGG